rnacentral:rRNA from 1 species
ACUCAAAUGAAUUGACGGGGGCCCGCACAAGCGGUGGAGCAUGUGGUUUAAUUCGAUGCAACGCGAAGAACCUUACCUGGGUUUGACAUGUACUGGAAGACUACCAGAGAUGGUGUCGCCUUCGGGCCGGUACACAGGUGCUGCAUGGCUGUCGUCAGCUCGUGUCGUGAGAUGUUGGGUUAAGUCCCGCAACGAGCGCAACCCUUGCCUUUAGUUGCCAGCAUUCAGUUGGGCACUCUAAAGGGACUGCCGACGUUAAGUCGGAGGAAGGUGGGGAUGACGUCAAGUCCUCAUGGCCUUUAUAUCCAGGGCCACACACGUGCUACAAUGGCCGGUACAGAGAGAAGCCAACUUGCAAAAGGGAGCUAACCUCAUAAAACCGGUCUAAGUUCGAAUUGGAGUCUGCAACUCGACUCCAUGAAGCUGGAAUCGCUAGUAAUCGUGGAUCAGAACGCCACGGUGAAUACGUUCCCGGGCCUUGUACACACCGCCCGU